GAUGAAGAACGUAGCGAAAUGCGAUAAGUAAUGUGAAUUGCAGAAUUCAGUGAAUCAUCGAAUCUUUGAACGCACAUUGCGCCCGUUAGCAUUCUAGCGGGCAUGCCUGUCCGAGCGUCAUUUCAACCCUCAGGGUCCCCGUUCCGGCGGGGAACCUGGUGUUGGGGAUCGGCCCGCCCCGUGCGGCGCCGUCCCCCAAAUUCAGUGGCGGUCUCGCUGCAGCCUCCCCUGCGUAGUAGUUACAACCUCGCAUCGGAGCUCAGCGCGGCCACGCCGUAAAACCCCCGACUUUCUGAACGUUGACCUCGGAUCAGGUAGGAAUACCCGCUGAACUUAAGCAUAUCAAUAAGCGGAGG
rnacentral:misc_RNA from 1 species